GGACAGUGAUGAAAAUAGCCAAAUCUACAUCAGAAGACCUUCUAGUCUACAAAGCAUGAUCUCUAGUUCUGAGA